rnacentral:tRNA from 1 species
GCGCCGGUGGUGUAAUGGUGUAGAGCAUUCACCCCGGUCAACUGGAGGUGCGGGUUCAUGUCCCGCCUGGCGCU